rnacentral:misc_RNA from 1 species
CGGAUCCGCCAUGGCUCCAACCUCCCUCUUCCUCUUCCUCGCCGCCGCCCUCUCCGCCGCCGCUGCCGCUGCUCCGACGGCUUACGAGGUCCUCGAAUCCUAUAACUUCCCCAUCGGCCUACUUCCCCAGGGCGCCCUCGGCUACGACCUCGACGCUGACACCGGCAAGUUCUCCGCCUAUCUCAACGGUACCUGCAGCUUCUCUCUCGAGGGAUCCUACCAGCUCCGCUACCAGAG